rnacentral:rRNA from 1 species
AUUGAACGCUGGCGGCAGGCCUAACACAUGCAAGUCGAACGAGUGGCGGACGGGUGAGUAAUGUCUGGGAAACUGCCCGAUGGAGGGGGAUAACUACUGGAAACGGUAGCUAAUCCCGCAUACCAUCGGAUGUGCCCAGAUGGGAUUAGCGAGUAGGUGGGGUAACGGCUCACCUAGGCGACGAUCCCUAGCUGGUCGGAGAGGAUGACCAGCCACACUGGAACUGAGAAACGGGCCAGACUCCUACGGGAGGCAGCAGGGGGGAAUAUUGCACAAUGGGCGCAAGCCGGAUGCAGCCAUGCCGCGUGUAUGAAGAAGGCUGUCGGGUUGUAAAGUACUUUCAGCGGGGAGGCGUUACCCGCAGAAGAAGCACCGGCUAACUCCGUGCCAGCAGCCGCGGUAUUC